GCACAGCCUACCAGCAGAGCUGCAGAGACCAGGCCCUCUGCUCUGCACUCACGUGGAGGCCCCUUCCCAUUCGGUCCGUUUCUGCAAGAAACGCUUGGGGCAGGGGAGCUGCCCUCUGGCUGGGUUGUGUGGGGCCUGACUCUGUGGGUCCCCGCCUCUGUCCCCGCUAUCAGGUCCCCGAGGGCCAGACUGUGUCCCUCUCAUUCCGAGUCUUCGACCUGGAGCUGCACCCCGCCUGCCGCUACGAUGCUCUGGAGGUCUUCGCUGGGUCUGGGACUUCCGGCCAGCGGCUCGGACGCUUUUGUGGGACCUUCCGGCCUGCGCCCCUAGUCGCCCCCGGCAACCAGGUGGCCCUGAGGAUGACGACGGAUGAGGGCACAGGAGGACGAGGCUUCCUGCUCUGAGCACCAAUUUUGCGGGGGGCGGCUGGAGAAGGCCCAGGGAACCCUGACCACGCCCAACUGGCCCGAGUCCGAUUACCCCCCGGGCAUCAGCUGUUCCUGGCACAUCAUCGCGCCCCCGGACCAGGUACCGACCCUCCUCCC
rnacentral:sRNA from 1 species